AACGAACGCUGGCGGCAUGCCUAACACAUGCAAGUCGAACGAGACCUUCGGGUCUAGUGGCGCACGGGUGCGUAACGCGUGGGAAUCUGCCCUUAGGUACGGAAUAACUCAGGGAAACUUGAGCUAAUACCGUAUAAUGACUCCGGUCCAAAGAUUUAUCGCCUAAGGAUGAGCCCGCGUAGGAUUAGCUAGUUGGUGAGGUAAAAGCUCACCAAGGCGACGAUCCUUAGCUGGUCGAGAGGAUGAUCAGCCACACUGGGACUGAGACACGGCCCAGACUCCUACGGGAGGCAGCAGUGGGGAAUAUUGGACAAUGGGCGCAAGCCUGAUCCAGCAAUGCCGCGUGAGUGAGGAAAGGCC
rnacentral:rRNA from 1 species